AACGGACGCUGGCGGCAGGCUUAACACAUGCAAGUCGAGCGCCCCGCAAGGGGAGCGGCAGACGGGUGAGUAACGCGUGGGAAUCUACCCAUCUCUACGGAAUAACGCAUGGAAACGUGUGCUAAUACCGUAUACGUCCUUCGGGGGAAAGAUUUAUCGGAGAUGGAUGAGCCCGCGUUGGAUUAGCUAGUUGGUGGGGUAAAGGCCUACCAAGGCGACGAUCCAUAGCUGGUCUGAGAGGAUGAUCAGCCACACUGGGACUGAGACACGGCCCAGACUCCUACGGGAGGCAGCAGUGGGGAAUAUUGGACAAUGGGCGCAAGCCUGAUCCAGCCGUGCCGCGUGAGUGAUGAAGGCCCUAGGGUUGUAAAGCUCUUUCACCGGUGAAGAUAAUGACGGUAACCGGAGAAGAAGCCCCGGCUAACUUCGUGCCAGCAGCCGCCGUAAUAC
rnacentral:rRNA from 1 species